rnacentral:rRNA from 1 species
UGGUUUGAAAAUAAAAAAUUUAUUUUAAGUUUGUGUGGUAUGUUAUUUUUUAAUAAAAUCAUUUUUUUUGAUUUAGGUUUUUGUAGAGGUUAUCGAUGGAAUUUUUUAAAUGAUAGUUUAAUUGUAUUGUGAGAGGUUAUUGAAAUAUAUUGAAAAUUUAAUUUUGUAAAAGUAGAUUUGAUUUAUUGUACCUUGUGUAUCAGGGUUUAUUAAAUAAUUUAUAAGUAUUUAUAUUUCCCGAUUUAAAGAGAGCUAAUUAUUUCUGUUAUUUAAUGUGGAAUAAUUAUUAAAUAGAGAUAGUUAGUUAUGAAACGUUAUUCGUUCUUUAAGAUAUCUGGUUUUUUGAGAAAUGAAUUUAAUUCAUUUAUUGGAUGUCAUUAAUUUAAUUGAUAAAAUUGGAUGUAAUUUAAUAAAAAUAUUUAGGGGGAUAAGCUUCUGAUUAUUAUUUAUAAGAGGGUAAUUUUAAUAGAAAUUUUGUAGGCUUGGAAUUAGCCAUCAUUUUAAGGAUGUUAUAAUUUAUUUUUUAUUAAAUAUGAUUUUAUAUAAGGUUUAAAUUUUAUAUCAAAAUGUAACUUUAAAUUUGUUUGAGUUAGUAAUAAUGAUGAAAUUAGUAUAUUAAUUAUUUGUUUAUAUUAUUGUAGCUGUUAGGUUAUAUUAAGGAAUUAGGCAAAUUAAUGCUCGCCUGUUUAACAAAAACAUGUCCUUAUGAUAAUAAUUUAAGGUCUGACCUGCCCACUGAAUAUAAUUUAAAGGGCCGCGGUAUUUUGACCGUGCAAAGGUAGCAUAAUCAUUAGUCUUUUAAUUGGAGGCUGGAAUGAAUGGUUGGACGAGGUAUUGACUGUCUCAGUAUAAAUGAUUUAGAAUUUAACUUUUAAGUCAAAAGGCUUAAAUUUAUUUAAAGGACGAGAAGACCCUAUAGAGCUUUAUAAUUAUUAAUUAUAACUUAUUUAGUGGUAUUUAUAUUAUAUUUUGUCAAUUAUUUUGUUGGGGUGACAGGAAGAUAGAUGAAACUCUUUUUAAUUUUAAUCAUUGAUUUAUGAAUUGUUGAUCCGUUAUUAACGAUUAUAAGACUAAGUUACCUUAGGGAUAACAGCGUAAAAUUUUUUUUGAGAGUUCUUAUCGACAAAAAAGGUUGCGACCUCGAUGUUGGAUUAAGGGUGCAAUUUUAGGUGCCUGUAGAAUGUUCAAGCUAUGUUUAGGUCGUGUUGCGAGCUCUCCCUUAUGAUCGACUUACAGGUGAUCGUGAGUUCAGACCGGCGUAAGCCAGGUCGGUUUCUAUCCUUAAUUAAUUAUGAUAUUUUAGUACGAAAGGACCAAAUAUUGGGAAUAAUAUUUCUUGAUUUUAUUGAUUUAUAGUAAUUUC